rnacentral:tRNA from 1 species
CCGUCGAUAGGCUCAGUUGGUAGAGCGGAGGACUGUAGUAGUUAGCAGCUAUCCCUUAGGUCGCUGGUCCGAAUCCGGCUCGACGGA